rnacentral:rRNA from 1 species
GACGAACGCUGGCGGCGUGCUUAACACAUGCAAGUCGAACGGCAAGGCCCUGCAGUUGUGGGGUGCUCGAGUGGCGAACGGGUGAGUAACACGUGAGUAACCUGCCCUUGACUAUGGGAAAACUUCAGGAAACUGGGGCUAAUACCGGAUAGGAGCUCCUGCUGAAUGGUGGGGGUUGGAAAGUUUCGGCGGUUGGGGAUGGACUCGCGGCUUAUCAGCUUGUUGGUGGGGUAGUGGGAUACCAAGGCUUUGACGGGUAGCCGGCCUGCGAGGGUGACCGGCCACGUUGGGACUGAGAUACGGCCCAGACUCCUAUGGUAGGCAGGAGUGGGGAAUAGUACACUAUGGGCUGAAGCCUAGUGCAGCAACGCCGCGUGCGGGAUGACGACCAUCGGGUUGGAAACCACUUUCGCUUGGGACGAAGCGUUAGUGACGGUAAUGGGUAAAGAAGCACCGGCUAACUACGUG